rnacentral:lncRNA from 1 species
CUCUGAUUUUCUCUCUCUACUUGAUUUUAUGAAAUCGAUAAAGAAACUUCGAUCCUAUCACUUCGAAUCCGAUUUGAUCUGAUAGUCAAACUUUGGAUCGUUUAGGUCCUAAUUAGAUUUUGAUUAGAUAAAAUUAGAUGAUCGGACCUAAUCUAAACCGUUGAAAUAUGGUAUUCGUAUUCUUUCUAAUUAUUGAAAUUAAUUAUGUAUAGGAUUGUAGAUGUUUGAUCAUGGGAUAUCGCGAUAUGAUCUACAAAUAGAAUUUUUGGAAGAAAAAAAUUUAUAGAAUUAUGUGGGUUUAUUGGAAUGCGUUCGAGGUAAGUAAUGUUUCACUUUUUUUAGAUUUAUCGGCAAAUUAUAAUGUAUUUUUCUGACAUGAUUUGUGAAACGAUGCAUGAAUUGGAUGAAUGAUAUUUUGUUAUGAAAAUAUCUUAUUUGAAAUGUUAUGAUGAAGCAUGAUUGAACAUAUUGAUUCCAUGAUG